AAAUUGAAGAGUUUGAUCAUGGCUCAGAUUGAACGCUGGCGGCAGGCCUAACACAUGCAAGUCGAACGGUAACAGGAAGCAGCUUGCUGCUUCGCUGACGAGUGGCGGACGGGUGAGUAAUGUCUGGGAAACUGCCUGAUGGAGGGGGAUAACUACUGGAAACGGUGGCUAAUACCGCAUAACGUCGCAAGACCAAAGAGGGGGACCUUCGGGCCUCUUGCCAUCAGAUGUGCCCAGAUGGGAUUAGCUGGUUGGUGAGGUAACGGCUCACCAAGGCGACGAUCCCUAGCUGGUCUGAGAGGAUGACCAGCCACACUGGAACUGAGACACGGUCCAGACUCCUACGGGAGGCAGCAGUGGGGAAUAUUGCACAAUGGGCGCAAGCCUGAUGCAGCCAUGCCGCGUGUAUGAAGAAGGCCUUCGGGUUGUAAAGUACUUUCAGCGGGGAGGAAGGUGUUGUGGUUAAUAACUGCAGCAAUUGACGUUACCCGCAGAAGAAGCACCGGCUAACUCCGUGCCAGCAGCCGCGGUAAUACGGAGGGUGCAAGCGUUAAUCGGAAUUACUGGGCGUAAAGCGCACGCAGGCGGUCUGUCAAGUCGGAUGUGAAAUCCCCGGGCUCAACCUGGGAACUGCAUUCGAAACUGGCAGGCUUGAGUCUUGUAGAGG
rnacentral:rRNA from 1 species